AGAUUUGUUACUGGUAUUAAAGUAAUGUCGGACAUCAUUAAAUCUUGCUCAAGGACUGAAAAUCCUUGUGUCGGGGGUUCAAUUCCCUCCCGCACCA
rnacentral:tRNA from 1 species